rnacentral:rRNA from 1 species
UACAGAGGGUGCGAGCGUUGUUCGGAAUUACUGGGCGUAAAGCGCGCGCAGGCGGCUCUUUAAGUCUCGUGGUCAAAUGCCGGGGCUCAACCCCGAGCGUGCCGGGGAUACUGGAGGGCUGGAGACAGGUAGAGGCAAGCGGAAUUCCGGGUGUAGCGGUGGAAUGCGUAGAGAUCCGGAAGAACACCGGAGGCGAAGGCGGCUUGCUGGACCUGGUCUGACGCUGAUGCACGAAAGCUAGGGGAGCAAACAGG